UCUGAACCACAACCUGAUGAUCCUUCCUUUGUUUAUUUAUUAUAUUAAGAAAAGAAAAAGAUUACUAUUUGGAUCCUUAGUUCUACCGAGAAGCAGAUCAAUCCAACCUAGCUUGUGUUGUUUUUCAAUUCCAAUUCACGGUGAAAUAAAUAGAUGGGUACAGAGAGAGACGGGGCACUUUGUUGAUGCAGAAAUAUGAAUCUGCUUAUGUACUGGACUGACACUUCACAGUUCAGCAUGCUUGACUUAUCGUAUCUUUACUUUUUUACUAGUUCAGUGCUGGAAUCCUAGCUCUGUUUUUUUCGUAUAAGGCAUCAUCGCCGCUCAUUAUCUUGUUUGUCGUCAGGAUUCAAGGACUCCAUCUGCUUCUCAUGGACAAGCUGCUGCUGGGAGAGGACGACGACGAUGCGCCUGGCUGCUAAGACCCUGCUAGUAUUGACGCCAUGGAAGGAUUCAAGGAUCCCAUCUGCUUGUCAUGGACAAGCUGCUGCUGCGAAAGGAGGAGGACGGUGCGCGUGGCUGCUCCGACCAUUCUAGUGCCGACGACAUGGGAGAUCGUGGUGGACAGUCCAAUAACUCAUGCCAUGGCCUCUCUGUCUUUUAGGCAGGACCAUGGCUCUCCUCAGGUCUAAGCUGUACAUAGGAGCUGUAUUGCUAGGGGUAUGUCCAAUGGAUCUGUUAUCAUCGUCCCAAGCAAAUUUUCCAUCCAUCAAGCUGAUGAUAUAGAUGCAAAGGGACUUGGUGUACCACAAGGGUGUCCACAGCUUGCUUCUUUCGGUUUGAGGGAAGGAAUCAAUUCGAUCUUUCACCGAGCUUUGAGUGUGAUGGAUUUGGUUGUUCCAUUCAAAGCAGCAGGCGCCCUCCAUGGACGACAUCUGCGACAUCCACCUCAGCUUG